AAAUGUAUACUAGCUACGUGAAGUAAAGAAGUCUGCGAUUAUUUUCGAAUAUCUUGUUAGUCUAGUGUAUUUAAAUCCACAUUUAGAAGUAAUAAUAAAAGCGAAUGCGCAAGUCUGUUUCCAACAAUCAAAACUGAUGAAACUAGAGAUAAAGAAUUUGGAAAUAGCAAAAUCUAUAGGUAAUCUUCCAAUAGUUGCCAAAAUAAUUGCUACAAGUGCAGAAAAUUGGAGAAGACAAGUUAUUUUCAGCAUUAACAUAAAUUGAAUGGAACUUGGGUGCUUGUUAUUAAAGCAUCAUCUCUCUGAUCGCUAAGUGAUUUUGUAGUUUUCGAAGGAGCCUCUUCAAAGCGCACAUCGAACAGCUGCUUGACAAGAACGUCGCUGUCAUCGUAAGGUUCAUAA